AGAGUUUGAUCCUGGCUCAGAUUGAACGCUGGCGGCAUGCCUUACACAUGCAAGUCGAACGGCAGCACGGGGGCAACCCUGGUGGCGAGUGGCGAACGGGUGAGUAAUACAUCGGAACGUGCCCAGUAGUGGGGGAUAGCCCGGCGAAAGCCGGAUUAAUACCGCAUACGACCUACGGGUGAAAGCGGGGGACCGCAAGGCCUCGCGCUAUUGGAGCGGCCGAUGUCGGAUUAGCUAGUUGGUGGGGUAAAGGCCUACCAAGGCGACGAUCCGUAGCUGGUCUGAGAGGACGACCAGCCACACUGGGACUGAGACACGGCCCAGACUCCUACGGGAGGCAGCAGUGGGGAAUUUUGGACAAUGGGCGAAAGCCUGAUCCAGCCAUGCCGCGUGCGGGAAGAAGGCCUUCGGGUUGUAAACCGCUUUUGUCAGGGAAGAAACGGUCCGAGCUAAUACCUCGGACUAAUGACGGUACCUGAAGAAUAAGCACCGGCUAACUACGUGCCAGCAGCCGCGGUAAUACGUAGGGUGCAAGCGUUAAUCGGAAUUACUGGGCGUAAAGCGUGCGCAGGCGGCUUUGCAAGGCAGAUGUGAAAUCCCCGGGCUUAACCUGGGAACUGCAUUUGUGACUGCAUCGCUGGAGUGCGGCAGAGGGGGAUGGAAUUCCGCGUGUAGCAGUGAAAUGCGUAGAUAUGCGGAGGAACACCGAUGGCGAAGGCAAUCCCCUGGGCCUGCACUGACGCUCAUGCACGAAAGCGUGGGGAGCAAACAGGAUUAGAUACCCUGGUAGUCCACGCCCUAAACGAUGUCAACUGGUUGUUGGACGGCUGCUGUUCAGUAACGAAGCUAACGCGUGAAGUUGACCGCCUGGGGAGUACGGCCGCAGGGUUGAAACUCAAAGGAAUUGACGGGGACCCGCACAAGCGGUGGAUGAUGUGGUUUAAUUCGAUGCAACGCGAAAAACCUUACCUACCCUUGACAUGCCUGGAAUCCUGCAGGGAUGUGGGAGUGCCCAAAAGGAACCAGGACACAGGUGCUGCAUGGCCGUCGUCAGCUCGUGUCGUGAGAUGUUGGGUUAAGUCCCGCAACGAGCGCGACCCUUGUCAUUAGUUGCUACGAAAGGGCACUCUAAUGAGACUGCCGGUGACAAACCGGAGGAAGGUGGGGAUGACGUCAGGUCAUCAUGGCCCUUAUGGGUAGGGCUACACACGUCAUACAAUGGCCGGUACAGAGGGCUGCCAACCCGCGAGGGGGAGCCAAUCCCAGAAAGCCGAUCGUAGUCCGGAUUGUAGUCUGCAACUCGACUACAUGAAGUCGGAAUCGCUAGUAAUCGCGGAUCAGCAUGUCGCGGUGAAUACGUUCCCGGGCCUUGUACACACCGCCCGUCACACCAUGGGAGUGGGUUCUACCAGAAGUAGUUAGCCUAACCGUAAGGAGGGCGAUUACCACGGUAGGAUUCAUGACUGGGGUGAAGUCGUAACAAGGUAACC
rnacentral:rRNA from 1 species